UAGGGAAUAUUAGAAAUGGACGAAAGUCUGAUCUAGCAACGCCGCGUGUGCGAAGAAGGCCUUCGGGUUGUAAAGCACUUUUUGAGAGGAUGAGGAAGGACGGUACUCUCAGAAUAAGUCUCGGCUAACUACGUGCCAGCAGCCGCGGUAACACGUAGGAGGCAAACGUUAUCCGGAUUUACUGGGCGUAAAGCGCGUGUAGGUGGUUUGGUAAGUAGGGCGUGAAAGCUCCUGGCUCAACUGGGAGAGGCCGUUCUAAACUGCCGAACUAGAGGAUGGUAGAGGGAGGUGGAAUUCCGGGUGUAGCGGUGGAAUGCGCAGAUAUCCGGAGGAACACCAGUGGCGAAAGCGGCCUCCUGGACCAUUCCUGACACUCAGACGCGAAAGCUAGGGUAGCAAACGG
rnacentral:rRNA from 1 species